AAAAAGUAAAAUAGAUAAACUAGGAAACACAUCAGCACAGUUGUGGUAGACUGUUACAAUACUGGUAUAAGAUGAAUCACACCUCCCUGCAUCAGCUGCUCUUGACAGGGGGACUGCCAUGCUUUCCAGGAAGAGAUACUGUUUCCUUUCCCUUUGACUAGAACUGAACCUCUUACCAAGAGAAUGUGGCGGGAGAGGCGUGUAACUUCCAAGGCUAACCUUCCAAUCUGGCCCUCUUCAUACUCAGAGACUUCUGUGCUCUGAAGAAGCCCGGGAGGUGAGACUCCGAGAAGAGAGGAGUUCAUUUACCCCAGUCUCCAGAGAUCGCAGCGGUGGCUUUGCUCUGUGUGUCCUUCUGACCCAGCUCCGUGGGAUGAAAAUGUGCUACUUCCAGGACCAACCAAAGGAAUUCUGAUAUGUACACCUUUGUGGGUGACAAAGAUGGAGACCAUGGUGCACUGCAGAGGUUACAUGAAUUGAAGAUGGCAGUGCCUUUGGGUGGAUUCCAUUAAGA
rnacentral:lncRNA from 1 species